rnacentral:lncRNA from 1 species
UGAGGACCCAAGAUGCCAUGUCUGGCAACACAUGAGUUGUGUCAUCUUUCCUGAAAAACCUGGGGAGGCUCCUGAAAAUUUUUAUUGUGAGCUGUGUCGUCUUAGUUGUGCUGAUCCGUACGCAUCUCAUAGUAGCAAACCUUCGCAUUUCAUCAAUAUAUCAACUGGGAAAUGUGACGUUCGGUCUUCAUAGACAUGGCUUUUUGUAUGGAAUGAUGAUAUUGACAUCCCUCUUGAGAAAUUUUAUUUAUUAUUCCAUGCGAAACGAUGACCUAACUUCUCAGUUUUAGUUAGUUUCAUCUGAUCUUUAAAUUGAUCACUGGAAGUGCUAUAGAGAAGGUGUUCUUAUAAAUUGAAUCGAUACUGGAUAAUUGACCUAAAUUGUCAUGGACAGACCAAGAGUAUUACAAAGUAAGUAAAUUGCAUUAGUAUAAGGAUAGAUGACUUACUUCACCAAGACAAAUCGAUGACAAUCAUAUAGAUAUGCGCAUGGUAAGUGGUUCGAUUUCUUGUCUAUAAGGCUUAUCAAGGUGGAGCCACAAGGAUGAUCAGACUAGCCACAGGCUUGUGGACUAUGUUGGGUCCUCAUGACUCUGGCUUGGUCAAAGAGCUGACUCGAGUCGUGAGCAUGCGGACCGAGAUGGGGACUCUUGACACCAUGAAAAUUCUUCGGGAUUGAGAUGGGUGACUCGUACCGCGAGCAUGCGGUCGGAGUGGUAUCAAUCUUAAUACCAUCCUAAAUGAUCUUAUGCGGCCCAGGUCUGGCGGUAGGCUAUGUGUGUAAGAGUGUAGUGCAAAUGCAAGGCAUGCACAAUAGUUUAUGUCAAACAACACUUCAAUAAUUCGAAUCUAAAACAUUUAUUCUCAACUCCAACCUGCAAGACAAGGUUAGCAAUCACUACUCCCUUUAUACCUCACAAUCUGCAAGAACAUUUAACACCUAAAUGUUAGGGAUGUACCUGUGAUUCUCACUGCAAAAAAAAUAUAAGAAAAUUGGCUUAAGUCCACUAAGGUUUCAACUUAAGUCUCCAGCGGAAUCGCCAAGCUGUUGCGAUCAAUUUUUCGGGUGAAUCACCUAGGGUUUGGUUAAUGGAUUACUAAGCCUAAACUUAGCUCAGGCUCUCUCAAGUCCAUAUCAAUUCACGACUUAGGUUCAAAUUCUUUAACAUGUAAUUGAUUCUUAAUUAGGAGUCGUCACUAAUUAGUUUAUGGUAGGUCGAUUAGACACCUGAGUAAAAUAAUAGGAGAAUUAUUUUACUCCUACGAACCAGAGAGUUUGGGUACGGGGAUUUGAUUACACUAGAUUUCUCUAAUGCCAUUUCAGUACCAUUCUUUUAUUUUCAAAAAUGCUUUUGCAGACAAUUUUGAUUAAUUUUAAAUUUAUUUCCUUAACAUAUGAGGUGAUCAUACGGGUGCGCAAAUUACCAAUUUAACACUUAAGAAAGCGAUGAAUAAGUUACAGAACUUACCUCAAAGCAAUGAAAGUAUUUGCAAUGUUAAAUCAGAAUUCAUAUCAACAACCCUAAAUAUGAUUUUUAAUUAACACGCAAUUAUUUGUUUUUUUUUUCACUUUUUUAAUGCAAUGUAAUAUAAUUAAAUGACCUAAUUCUAAUAACAUGCAAUUUCUAAUUAAAUGGACCUAAUAACAAUCUAUAAAUAACGUGCAUUUCAUGAAUCUAAUCAUAUAUGACAUUUACAUGACUUUUUUUAUUUUUCCUAAAAUAUGCAAUCUAUCGUAAUAUGCAAUGACGUGCAAAGAAUGCCAUAAUUCUAAUUUUUUUCUUUUUUUAUUACGAAAUUCGAAAUGAAAAUUGUCAAAUAAUUAAACAUGCAAUUCAAAUUUAAAACUAACAUCCUAAAUGAUUGCAUUUUUUUUUUUUGGAUUUUUUUUUAAGGAAUUCGAAAUAAAUAAAUUUCCUAUUCUAAACAAGCAAAAUAUAUUCUAACAUGAACCUAAUCUAACUCAAAUAUAUAUUUUUGGGUUUUUCUUUUACGGGAGCAAUCAAAUAAAGGCAUCAAGAAAGCAUGGCACCAAAUCAAGCAAGAUAUCAUCCAUGUCCAUUUAAUUUUGGGAAAUAAAUUGACAAAUCGUAUCUCGCGCAUAAGAUCGGAUUGACCAAUUUUUAAAUAACAUCACAAAUCAUAUCUCGAGCGUGAGAUCGGAUUGGUGAUUUUUCCGUAUGAUUGCGGGUGGUAUUUCGAGCAUGAAAUCGGACCGUUAAUCAUAUGUACGUUGCAUAAUUAGGAAUAUUUCCCAAUUUAAAAAGAUACUCGAUAUUUUGUGAAUACGAUAGCAUCGUUUAAAGAUUCAUACGAGAUAGCAAUUUCACAAAUUAGGCAAUAAAAAUAUACGAAGAUCAAUUUGAUGAAAAUUAUUACUUAAAUUGCAAUAUCGCUCAGAUACUGUUUCCAAAUUUGAAUGAUGGAAGGCUCGCAAGGGGUGACCGGGAUUGCAACCAGCUCCACAAUGUGGCAUGACCAGCAGUGAGAGAAAUGGCUCACGUCGGGGACGUCAUGGUGGAGAUCGUGUGUGAGGUGGGUUUUGCUUCAUUAUCGUCGAAGAGAGAGAACCGCCAACGUGGGAACUAGACUUGCGACUGAAACCUAAUAAUAGAUUUUGGCGACUGACGUGCUCUUGAUUUGCAAACGUCACGUUGCUUAAUGCAACUGAGAUCUCCAAUUUCCACCUUCCUUGAUGUUGUCAUUUUCUUUGGAAUUCAUUGCUCUGGAUCACGUGGCCAUGAAUUUCAAUUGAAGCUCCUUAUUUUGGCCAACAUGUUGUGAUAAUGGAACAAAAUUCGUCUCCUGUGACUCACGAUGAUUCAGCAUAGGCACAACCAAUCUUUCUUCUUUUCUUUUAAUUGGCCUUCACUGUUGGCUCCAUGAAUCCACAAGCUCAACAAAGCUUUUCCUCGUAGAACCUUUGAUCGUGUGCUCUUGUUGUGGCUGCCCCAAAGAAGUAAUUCUUGCUCGUCCAUGUGUUGGUCUGGCGAAGUGGACUUUUGCUUUGUUGGGUGAUGGUCAGCAAACUUUAGCGAUGAAGGCGUGAGGGGAUGAAUCUGUUGGUCGUUCCGUCGGGCACAAUUGCGAGGCACCAAAAGGAUGUGAUGAGCGCGAGAAUUGCUGACUAUGAGCAAGAACGUUGGUCUCUGUGUCAACGAGGGCACGAUAGCAAGAACUGGUUGCAGCGCUGGAUCUUCACUAGUGCAGGUCGACUUUGAGGCAAGAGGAAGCAGCCGGGGUACUCGAUGAGGGACGGUAGAUGUGAUGGAAGAACUAAGUUUUGAAACUUCUCUGGAUGUUCUCCCUUCUUCUCAAUGGGAUACCUCUCGCUAUGGUGUUUCACAUUUGGCCGUGUAUUCAAUCUGUGUGGCCUUCUGAAACCCUACAAGAAAAACCUUUUUAUAGGUUGAAGAUUAGGGUUUUAAUUUCCUUUUCAAAUUAACAUCCGUGAAUAUUUCUUUUUCGCACGCAAUAUCACUUUUUUUAUUUUCUACAUCUCCUGAUUUUAUCGCCUAAAGAUAAUAUUGCAACCCGAUUUUCUUAAAUUUCAAAAAUCCAUCGUAAUAUCAUUUCAAAUCUCCAUUUAGAUAAUUUUUGUCAUUAAAAGAAAACGGGCUCGGGCCAAUUUAUUUGCUUCGUGGGCUUAGUCCAACCUAUCAAAUUAAAGCUUAGAACCAUUAAAUCAAACUCAUUUGUCACCAACCCAAUGUAAAUGCAAAUUAAAUAAAUGCACCUAAAACUAUAUGUUAUGCAAUUAAUUAAUUAACUAAUACUUUUUUAGAGGUUAAAAUUAAUCUCUAAUUUUUUAAUACGAUAAAUGACUAAACGGGUUGCCAAAAUUUAGGUGUCAACAAAUACAUUCUAAGAAGAAAUAUUGUAAUAUCAAUCUCAUCGAUCUCAUAAGUAUCAUACCAAAUCCCAUCCAUUGAAUCACUUUUUCAAAAACGACGAGACAUCUAAGUCAUACAAAUAAAGAGAUCUAUUCAUUGAUAAGAAAAAGAAAAAAUGUGAACGGUGAUUGGAUUGAUGAUAAAAUAGAAUCCUGGGUCGUGAACAAUGAUUCGAUUGAUGAUAAAGAAAGAGAAUUAUUGGUUCAAUUUUCCACCUUAAUGACAGAAAAAAAGGAUUGAUCAAAUUCUAUUGAGUUUGACUCAUAGUGAUCAUUUAACAAAGAAUGACUCUAGUUAUCAAAUGAUUGAACAACCGGGAGCAAUUUACUUAUGAUACUUAGUUGACAUUCAUAAAAAGUAUCUAAUGAAUUAUGAGUUCAAUACAUUCUGUUUAGCAGAAAGACGGAUAUUCCUUGCUCAUUAUCAGACAAUCACUUAUUCACAAACCUCAUGUGGGACUAAUAGUUUUCAUUUUACAUCUCAUGGAAAACCCUUUUCGCUCCGCUUAGCCCUAUCCACUUUGACCAACGGGAUGGUCUUGGUGUGCAAAACCUGCUCCUUGCGGUCCACGAUCUGAACCGGGCUUUCAAUGUACGACACCCUGUUAUCCACGUCUAAUUCCUCAAAAUUUAGAACGUGUGUCGGAUCUAGUUCAUACUUCCUUAACAUCGACACGUGAAAGACGUCAUGCACUUGUGCCAACAUCGGCGGUAGUGCAAGACGAUACGCCAGUCCCUAUUUUUUCCAAAAUCUCAAAGGGACCUAUGUACCUCGGACUCAAUUUCCCCUUUUUGCCAAAGCGGGAAGUACCUCUCAUCAGUAACACCUUCAGAAAGACGUGCUCAUCAACUUGGAACUCCAAUGGCCUUCGACGCUUAUCGGCAUAACUUUUCUGACAGCUCUGAGCAGUUUUUAAUCUGUUUCUGAUGACUGCAACUACCUCCACUGACUGUGACAUCCUGAAAUUCGACCCCGUUUCGAUAAAAUGAAAUGUGCAUUUUUUCGACGUGCCUAUGGUCCUUUUUCUCUGAGUUGAUCACUCACGAGUUAGCUAAUCUAUUGGGUGAAGCCGUUAAGGGAUAUAACCGCGGUAAAAUCCCUAAAAGCUACCUAAUUGGUUGAAUUUGACUAAAAUCGCGUCCGGUCGAUUUUAACCAUGAAAUUUAAUUCGGUCUUGGGAAAUCGAAUAUUCAAGCGUGUCACAAUUCAUUUUUAGGACCGUCUCAUCGUCUGUCAAUUUAUUGACGAGUCCGAAAUUUCAAGAAAGAAAUUAUCGGAGGAAUAAUCGAAGACCGGAAGAAAAUAAAAAGGGAAUGAGAAAAGGAAAAUAAUAUAAAUAAGAAAAUUGGGUUUUCUUAUUAAAGUGUUAUUUUCUUUCCCUUUUUCUUUUCUCUUUUUCUCUCUUCUUUUCUCUCUCUUCUCUCUCCUCUCCCCUCCCCCUCGUGCGAAUUCCCUUCCCCCUUUUCCACCGAAGUGUGGGCUAUCACCCACUUGCCUUUCCUCUCUCCCUUUGACCAUUCAAACCCAUCUUUUCUCUCUCUUAUCUCUUCUUCUUUCUCCUCUCUCUUCUCCCCCUCUCCCUCGUCUCUCUUCUCCCCCUCUCCCUCGUAACCGACUUCUUCUUCUUCCUUCUUGUCUGUGCGAACCAGCGAACCAGACAGCCGCUGCCGUCGCCGCCCAUGCACCGCCGCAGCUCACCGCCAGGCCGUCGUCCCGCCGCCUGCGCUCGCUGCCGCCCUUCCCCCGCGCGAUCCAGCGUCUGUUCGGCCUCUGUUCAGCCACCGUGAGCGGCUGAGCAAGCCACCGGAGCCGCUGAGCAAGCCACCGGAGCCGCCGUGCAGCCUCGUCAAACCACCGCCUAACUUCCCAACCCCUUGUUGCCCCCAACCGUCUCUCUUUCUCUCUGUUUUGCAGCCGAACCAGCAAACCCGCGAGUGGGUUUCUAGCCGGUUUGUGGGCCGUUUUGGGCCGUUUCCGGGCCCCGAACCCGAGCCGUGCUUUGAAAAGAAUUGUUCCUCGCGUCGCCCCCGUCGGAUUGAUCCGAUUUGCGCGCGAUUUGGUGAGUAAUCUCACUAAUCCCGGAUUAGUUGGCUAAUUAUGCUUAAGGUUGGUUUAGUUUUAAUUAAUUAUGUUUAGGUUGUUAGAUUAGAAUAAAUUAGUCAAUUGUGAUGCGAUUUAGAUAAAUUGAAUGUGUAAUUAGCAAGUAGAAGUGGUCUACUAUUUAUUGGAAGUGUCUCGGGAUUUUUCCCGACCCUUAGUGGGCUUCAAUUAGGCUUUUCGGGCCUAAGUGGAAUUUUUUGUAUUUAAAUAUUAAUUUUCGGAAUUUAAUUAAUUAAUUAAUUAUUUUCCGAAAAUUCAACUGGGAUGGCCAGUGAUCGGAAUAUUAUGCUGAUGACUAUGGUGAAGUAAAUAAUGCCCUUAUUUUGAGCUAAACAGAAUUUUUAAUAUUUAAUAAUUAAUUUUCGAAAUUAAUUAAUUAAUUAAUUAAUUAUUUUUCGGAAAUUAAGAUUGAGAUGGCUGACGACCGAAAUUUCAUGCUGAUCGUCGUGGCGCAGUCCGUUUAUUUAUUUGAGCUUUAAUUUGUGCUGAAUUGAUUUAAUUGUGGAUUUUUAGGAUAUGUUCCUAAAUUGAUUAUUUGGGUAAAUUGAGUACGAAUUAAGGUUGUGGAUAAUUACUUUAGAAAUGGAAUGAAUCAUCAUGAAAGGCACGUGGCUCGGUGAAUAGUACAUCAUCUCGGAGAAUGCACGUGGCUCGGUGAUUUGGUAUACCGCUUCGGAGAAUGCACGUGGCUCGAUGAUUAGUACGUCGCCUUGGAGAAUGCACGGGGCUUGAUGAUUAGAUAUAUCACCUCGGAGAAUGCACAUGGCUCGGUGACGAAAUAUGUCGCCUUGGAGAAUGCAUGUGGCUCGGUGAUUAAGUGUGGCAUCUUGAAAGAGACGUGGGCUCGGUAAUUUGAUGCAUUACCUCGGAGAAUGCACGUGGUCUCAAUGAGUACAUUUGGCAUCUUGAAGAGACACGUGGACUCGGUGACUUGAUGCAUCACCUCGGAGAAUGCACGUGGGCUCACUGAUUCAGAAUGGCAUUUUAAAGGGCACGUGGGCUCGGUAAAGUAAUGCAUUAACUCGGAGAAUGCACGUGGCUCGAUGAUCGGUUCCAUCACCUCAGAGAAUGCACGUGGCUUGGUGAUAAAUAAUAUCGCCUCGGAGAAUGCACGUGGCUCGGUGAUUGGUUUUAUCAAUUGAGAUUGUAAAGCAAUGACUAGAAUGAUCUAGAGAUAGUCCGUCUGACAUGUAAUCAAUUAGGUCGAUUGAUCAUUACUUUGAUUUGACGUUGUGAAUUAAUUGACUGAAUGGAAAUGACUGUGAGUGGUCUUGUUGGAAUAUAAUCGACUAGGUCGAUUUGAUCGAUGCUUCGAUCGGUGAUAUGAUUGCUUGGGUGCCUAUUAUGAAUUGUACUACUUGCAGGUGAGAUCUGAGGCCAAGGUAAGUCCUCUGCCCUGUGCGUGUUUAGGCAGCCUGUAGUAUAAUAGUUUACUAAUCUGGCCUUAGUGGGGUAGAACUCGCUGAGACGUAAUUUCAUCCCGGUUUGGGGAAAUCAUUUUAGGACCUCGCUGAGGAGAUGAGGAGGAGGAGUCUGAGAAGGAUUUUUGGGAGAAUAAGAUAAUUCCGAGAGGGGCCUUGAGCACGGCCCGGGUGAACUAAAAUUCUAUCUUCUUUUGAGAUCUCCAUUUUGAUGUAUAGAGAUAGAGUAAAAAGUUGUGAAGUACUCUCUGGUUUAUGUUUUGUAUAAAAGUUUAGUUAUAAGUUUCAAUAUGAAAAAUAUGGCCCUGCUUUUCUAUCCCAUCGUUUUAUUGUCUGGGGAUUUUAACUGCUUCUGCAUGUGCUUAAUAAAUGAAAAGGUCGGCGAUACAUAGUCCUGGGAUAUCGCAUUAUAAAAUCGACCAAAGGAGAAGGAUCUGUGUGUGCUCGAGGAUCGGGGCGUGACACUGACCGCUGAACCAACUCUGGACCGGUGAUCUUUCUUUCCCCUACUUCAUCCCAACACACUGGCGUUCUGCAUGCUCUGCCAUACAACACUUCAAAAGGAGCCAUUUGAAUAAUCUACUAAUAACUGUUGUUGUAGGCAAACUCGACCAGAUGAAGCUAUUCUUCCCAGUUUCCUUUGAAGUCCAAGACGCAAGCUCGCAGCAUAUCCUAAAGAGUCUGAAUUGUCCUCUCAGACUGGCCAUCAAUCUGCGGGUGAUAAGCUGUACUGUACUGCAGCUUCGUUCCUAAAGCGGAUUGUAAGCUCUUCCAAAAAGCGGCGGUGAACCUCGGGUCUCUGUCUGAAGUAAUUGUAAUCGACACUCCAUGCAUACGAACUAUCUGACGUACAUACAGAUCUGCAAGUCUAUCCAAACUCAAGUCCUUUUGAACUGCAAUGAAGUGAGCUGACUUUGUCAGCUUGUUGACUACUACCCAAAUCGAAUCAUUUACUCUCUGGCUCCUCGGUAAUCCCGUCACGAAGUCCAUCGUGAUAUGCUCCCAUUUCCAUUAUGAAAUCUCGAGGGGUUGCAGAAGUCCUCCCGGUUUGCAAUGCUGAGCUUUCACUUGCUGACACGUCAAAACAUUUGGCGACAUGCUUGGCAAUGUUCGUCUUCAUGCCACGCCACCAGUAGUGUUGACGCAGAUUCUGAUACAUUUUAGUACUACCAGGAUGAAUGCUGUAACUACUACGAUGCGCUUUUGAUAAAAUCUCCUCUCUAAGCUUCACAUCAUCAGGUACAACCAAUCGCCCUUGGAACCUCAACGUUCCAUCUUCAUAAAUCUGGAAGUCAGCCUUCCUCUUCUCAGUAUCCUCUUGCAGGAUUUUCUGAACAUCCGGAUUCGUCUGCUGAAGCGUUCUGAUUUUGACCUGCACUUCCAGCUCAAUUCUAAGGGUGGCCAUAAGAUUUGAAAGGUGGCCCACCUCAAAUUUGAAAUCUGAAUCUCGUGCUCUCUUAAUUAGACCCCAUUUCUUGAGUACCAUCUGAGUAACUGAAGACUUUCUACUCAGUGCAUCGGCGACUUGUUCGCCUUCCUAGGUGAUCCAAAAUCUCAUAGUCAUAGUCCUUUAAGAGCUCCAUCCAUCGACGAUGUCUCAUAUUCAACUCCUUCUGAGAGAAUAAGUACUUGAGACUCUGAUGGUCAGUGAAGAUCUGGAAUAUUUCUCUGUACAGAUAAUGCCUCCAAAUCUUCAGGGCAAAGAUGAUCGCUGCAAGUUCUAAGUCAUGCGUCGGAUAAUUCAACUCGUGAGGUCUUAACUAACGGGACGCAUACGCAACAACCCUACCAUGCUGCAUCAAUACGCAACACAAUCCUUUAAACGACGCAUCACUGUAGAUCUCAAACCCUCUUGGACCAGAUGGAAUAGUAAGCACAUGUGCGGUAGUUAGCUUCUGCUUAAGCUCUUAGAAACUACUCUCGCACUUAUCCGUCCACAUAAAUUUUUCUUCCUUCUUCAUCAGUCUCAUCAUUGGUGAUGCUAACACUGAAAACCCUUCUACAAACCGUUUGUAAUACCCUGCUAAACCCAGAAAACUUCUGAUUUCUGUCACUGUAGUCGGUCUCGGUCAAUUGAUCAUUGCUUCAAUCUUGGCUGGAUCCACUAAGAUUCCCUCUCCGAAGAUGACAUGACUUAGGAAAGCCACACGAGUUAGCAAAAACUUGCACUUACUAAACUUGACGUACAGCUCGUGAUCUCUCAAAGUCUAAAGCAUUAUCCUUAAGUGCCUUUUAUGAUCCUCAAUACUUCUUGAAUACACCAGGAUGACGUCGAUGAAAACAAUUACAAACUGAUCUAAGUACUCUUUGAACACCCGAUUCAUUAGAUCCAUGAAAGUAGCUGGGGCAUUUAUCAACCCAAACGGCAUCACAGUAAACUCAUAAUGGCCGUAUCGGGUGCGAAACGCCGACUUUGGUAUGUUUUCCUUCUUAAUCCUUAACUGAUGAUACCUUGUUCUCAAGUCGAUCUUAGAAAAUAUCGACGCUCCCUGAAGCUGAUCAAACAAGUCAUCAAUCCUCAGCAAUGGAUACUUGUUCUUAAUCGUCACCUGAUUGAGUUAACGAUAGUCGAUGCACAAGCGCAAGGAACCAUCCUUCUUCUUUACGAACAGAACUAGCGCUUUACAAGGUGAUGCACUAGGACGAAUAAAUCAUUUAUCCAACAACUCUUGCAUCUGCACCUCUAGUUCCUUAAGUUCUGAUAAGGCCAUCCAAUAAGAAGCUUUAGAGAUCAGCUCUGUCUCGAGGGCUAAUUCAAUCACAAACUCUAUCUCUCUCUCUAGCGGCAAACCUGGCAACUCUUCCAGGAACACGUUUGGGAACUCUUGUACCACUGCGAUAUCUUCAAUCUUCGACUCCUCCACUGUCGUGUCUACGACAGUCGCCAGGUAACCUUGGCAACCCUUGCAUAGCAAGCAAGUUGCUUCGAGCGAUGAGAUUAAGGAAACCGAGGGUCCUCCUCGACUCCCAAUAAAUUCGAAACUCUCACCCCCUAACGGGUUAAACUGAAUCGCCUUGCGAUAACAGUCUAUUUUAGCUCGUUGCUUAGUGAGCUAGUCCAUACCAAUUAUCACAUCAAAAUCAAACAUGGCUAGGACUAUCAAGUCUAUCCUCCCCUUUCGCUCACCAAUCACUAACUUGCAACCAAGACAACCCACUGUAGCUAACACCUUAUCCUUCAACGACGUAGAUACGCUAAUCACAGACUCCAACAACUCAGGAAUUAAUUCUACCAACUUAACAUAUAUUUCAGCUAUAAAUGAAUGAGAAGCUCCAGGAUCAAAUAAAGCAUAAGCAAGUUGGUCGUUCAGUAAGACCAUACCUGUGAUCACGUUAGGCGCUUCCUCCGCCUGUCCUCUGGUGAUCGCAUAAGCCCUUCCUUGAGCUGGAGGUCGGUUCAAUCGACCUUGUGGCAUGAUCUGCGGCGUGAUUCCUCUGUUCUGACCCAACAGUGUCAACGGCGGCAACUGACACUGUCCCAUCUGAUUCCUAGGGCAAUUCCUAGAUAUAUGACCCUGGUGGCCACACUCAUAACAUGCACCUGUCCUAGAGAGACACGGGGCUGAACCAUGUCGUCUUCCACAUGAAAGACACACUCCAUGAUGGUUUGGUGAUGGUUUCCCUAUCCCACCCUUCCUGUUGAGUGGAACAAGAUAUCUUCCUCCAGACAUCAGCCUCUUUCCAAAUUGAUUACCUUCUCUAUUCGAAUUAAAUCGCAAUCCAGAUGCGGCAGCUCUCUCAUUCUGGUCUUUCUCAAUCAACUAGGCCCGUUUAUAAAGGUCCUUAUACUUCUUCAAAUCUAAUGGUACCAAAAAGCUCCUCACCUCUGGUCGGAGCCCAUCUCUAAACCUUCGAGCUCGGUUUGACGGUCUCUAAACUAACUCUAGGGCAUACUACGACAGCUCAGCGAACUUCGCUUCAUACUGAUUGAUUGUCAUCGUACCUUGACGAAAGUGUUGAAACUCCGCCAUCUUCAUCUCUCUAGCACAAUAAAAAAAGUACUUCUCAUUGAAGACCUCAAGAAAAACAUUCCACUCUGGAGCUACACCUUCAGGGAAUACUAUCCCUUUAGUAGUCUUCCACCAGGUAGCUGCGAUCCCCCUCAACUGAUAGGUUGCUAGAACGACCUUAUCUGCUUCGGUGCACAUCAGCAACUCAAAGGCAUUCUCUAACUCCUGAACCCAUAGUGUUGCAGCUUUGGGAUCUCCCACUCCCGUGAAUGUUGGCGGAUUCAACCUCAGAAAAUGUUGUACCAACUUUUACCUAGGCCUCCUAGUGGCCACAUUCUCAGGUGGAAUUUCAACAGGAUCCACUUCAGGUUCCAACGACCGGUACGGCGGCAGCUACGGCAGCUACGGCAGCAGCAGCAGCAUUGGCGACAUUAGCAGCAUUAGUGGUAGCGGCGAUAGCGGCGGCUGAAGCGGCGGCCUGUUGGUCCAGUCUGUCACCCAUCAACUCAAACAUCUGCAAGAUUCCAACAAACCUCGAAUCCUCAGGGGCUACUGCAUCAUCUAGAGGCGAUGCUGCACCACUCACACUGGCUUUAACCUGCACUCUCCUCAGGGCACCUCGGGCACCGACCCUUAUCGACGACCCUCCCCAAAACACGAGGCCUACUGCUCUCUUCCUAGCAGCUCUCGGCACUCGGUCACUCAUGCUAUAAGCUCAAUAUAGAUGCCUAUUUGCAAAUUCUAAUACCACAUUAGAAUCUGAGUGACCUCGCAACAAGUUAACAAACAAUUACAAUCACUUGCAUCAGUAUAAUAAAAGCCUUUCCUACCAACUAUCCCAUGACUCCCACGCACCUUAUCACUCCAUACAUGAACCUGGCUCUGAUACCACUUAAACGGGGUUGUCACACCCCGAACCCCGAGACACGUGCACAACUCGCCAUGGUCAUGUAUAUGCGACAUUCCCAGGUAGUGUCGCCAACCCCAUUCAAUUAUUAUGCACAUACGGAACGUGUUAAGAAACCCCUGACAAAACAUACGGGAUAGGACAGCAGGAAAAUCAAUUCAAAAUCAAACAAACAUACUUUCAUAUAUCAUCAUUCCAGGGUUUACAUACACCAACAGGAUCCAGAGACUAUAUGCACCAAAAAUGAGUCAGAGUUUAUGUGCAUAAAAAAGGGGUCAGUCUACACAAACAUGGAUCGGUCCACCAAAAAAAGGAACAGUCCUAUGACUAUUGGUCGGCCUCGUUCGUCGAUCCCACAUCCUCCACAUUUGACUGCACUGGGUCCGGAGACGAUAGGUUAUCCACCCUACCAUCAAGAAGGUCAGCUACACCUUCACCCAGAAUAGCAUCCAUCACGGCCAGUGGAAUAUCAAAAUUAUCGAGUGGACCAAUCCUAAAGCCAUUGGCCCCAAAACGGAACCAAGCCCUAAACCUAUGCGGUACCUUAACAUCCUCGAUCUCCUAAAUCCAUACGGUGGUCUUGAUCAGCUCGUAGACCCAAUGGCUCCCAAGAUCAGGAAGGUUGUGCACCUGCUCGAUGAUCUGCACUGGGAUGCCCAUUCUUCUCCGGAGGUCUUGCCAUCUACGACCCUGUAAUAUUUUUCCCACAACGAGGUGAGACAUUGUCUCAGCAAGUUCACCCCUCCUAAACCCAUAUUAGAAAGAAAAUACGCUCUAGAGUUGUCUAGCCACAAAGCACAGAAGACUUACCUUGCCUUUUUGCCUUCCUGCAGAUUAGUACAAUUCAUAUCACUCAAUCAGAGGUAAUAAUAGGAACUUAAACCAUUGGAACACAAUCAAUUUCACUUAAUUUCGCAAUCACAACAAGCGUUUCAAAAUUAUUAUUCACCGCCACACAAGGGCAUAGCCUACUUGCAGUUCGGCUAUCUACUGAUAUAUAGCCAAGCAUCGUGUGACAUCCUGUGACAUCCUGAAUUUCUCAACCUGUUUUCUAUUGAAUUAAUCGGGCAUUUUGUUGAUGCGUUUAUAGGACUAUUCUCAUAGCCGAUCACUCUUGAGAUAAUUAGAUUGUCUUGGUAAGUAAUUAAGAAAAUUUAAGGCAAUAAACUUGAGAGUUCGAUCAAGAAUCGGCUUUUCAACCGUGCUCAUCUUUAGAAGCCAUUGCGGUAUAGUUAAAAAUCGAUUUAAGAUCAGAGAUAGGUCUGUUCGACUGAGAUGUAUGGCCGAUCGUGGGUGACUCCACUAAAUUGGAAAAUUCUCGUCAACCGACACUAAUUUGAUUUUACUGUCGUUUUGGUACCCUGUAUCCGUAAUUGAAUCAUCGAGAUUUUCACGACAAUCGAGAGUCGCCAUUGAGUCGAAUAGGUUUAUAGUGGUUCGAAGAAAAUCGACCACGGGUUAUUUGCCUUAAAAAGUUCUGAAAACCACCCGGUAGCCUAGGUUAUGCUAAAAACGCGCCAAAUGGAAAUUAACCGUCGAUUCAAGUCUGAUUUCAGAAAUUGAAGGUUCUGUCAUGUCACAAUAAAUUCUAGGAUCCACGACUCAGUCUCAGAAGAUUUUUCUGACAACCAAGACUUUUUGGGAAAAAGUCAGGUUAAGACCGUUUUCGUUCAGUUGAAGCCGCGGAUUAAUUUUGAUGGUGAAAUUGAGGAGUGUGAGGGAUUCUUGGAUAAAGAAAAUAAUCAAUUUGAUAAUGGAAAUAUCAAUUGAUUUUAGAAGAGUUAUUUGAGAGAAAUUUAAGAGGGAUUUUGGAUGCAAUGGCAAGUGGGGACCAAGAAAUCCAAGUUAAUAUUUCUCUUGAGUUUCUAUGAGCCAAUUUAAAAGAAAUUAGGAUUAGGAUUUUCUAUUUGAGGAAAUCCUUUUAUUUUUGUGAUAUUCCCAUUUCUUUUCCCUUUGUAGCCAAACACACCUUUUUCCCCUUUUCUCUCACUUUCUUUCUUUCUUUUUCUUUCUCUCUCUCUCCCUCUCACGGUUUGAGCAGAAAACAGAAGACAAAAGCAGAAACUGCACAAAGACAAGAGCCGCUCGCUGCCGCUCGCGCUCAGCCACCCGCGUGCCGCUCGCGUUGUGCCGUCCGCCGCUCACACCUCGCCUCCGCCUCUCCCGCACCACCUUUCAACCGCUGUCAAAGCUCUCUUUCUCCCCCUCUCUGUUUCAUGUGAAGCCCCGAUGGAAGUAGCGAGUAGCACCGCCGAAGAAGCAGCAGCCAACCGCUUGGACACCGUCGAAUCAAAGCUGCCGCACCGCCGCCCACGCGACGCCACGUGCUCCGUCACCUCACGCCCGCGUCUGCCGUCCUAGUUGUGCGCCAUUCAGCCUCGUUCGGUCUUUGUCCAUCUCGGACCGACCGCCUCCAGCCGCCGCCCAACUCUGACCGGUCGCCGUGCAGCCUACCCGGAGCUCCGCCCAUCCUUCCUGACCCUUGCUGCCCCCAUCCCUCUCUCUUUCUCUCUAUUUUGCAGCCGAUCCAGCAUCCCCGCCGUGUGGGUAUCCAGCUGGUUCGUGGGUGGUUUUGGGCCGUUUUCGAGCCCUGAACCCAAGCCGUGCUUUGGAAGGAAUCGUUCCUCAUGUUAUGCUUUGCACGCGAUUCCGGUGAAUAAACUCACUAAUCCUUGCUUAGUGGACUAAUUACGCUUAAUGGUUGUUUAGUUUUAUUUAAUUAGGGUUAGGUGGUUAGAUUAGUGUUUAUUAGUUAAUUGUGAUGCAAAUUAGACAAAUUGAAUGUGUAUCUAGCAAGUAGACAUGGGCUACUAUUUAUUGAAGGUAGCUCGGAAAUUUUCCGACCCCUAAUCGGGCUUCAAUUUGUCGAUUCGGGCCUAAGUGGAAUUUUUGGCAUUUAAAUAUUAUUUUUCAGAAUUAAUUAAUUAUUUAUUUAUUUUCCGAAAAUUCAAUUGAGAUGGCUAAUGACCAGAAUAUUAUGUUGAUGACCGUGGUGAAGUUCGUUUAUUUAAUUGGGCUUUAAUUUAAGCUAAAUUGAAUUUUUAAUAUUAAUUAUUUAAUUUUCGAAAUUAAUUAUUUAAUUAUUUAUUUUCCGAAGAUUCAACUGGGAUGGCUAGUGACCAGAAGAUUAUGCUGAUGACCAUGGUGAAGUCCAUUUAUUUAAUCGGGCUUUAUUUUGAGCUAAAAUGAAUUUUUAAUAUUAAUUAUUUAAUUUUCGAAAUUAAUUAAUUAUUUAAUUAUUUUUCGGAAAUUAAGAUUGAGAUGGCCAAUGACCAAAAUUUCGUGUUGAUUGUCGUGGUACAGUCCGUUUAUUUAAUUGAGUUCUACGUUGUGCUGAAUUAAUUUAAUUGUGGAUUUUUAGGGAUUUUUCCUAAAUCGAAUUAAUUUGAGUAAUUGACUGGUGAAUAAUUGGGUAUUGGUUGCCAGUGAUAAAGGUAUUGUGGUAGACUACCGAUCAUACUGGAAAUUGUGAAAAUGAAAGUGGGUAUGUAAGAUGUAUGCUGACCUGAUGACUCGGCAUGUCAUCUAGGGAUUGGGUCAUGUAUAUAGUGGAUCCAUGAUAAAUUCUAUGUCACCUUGGAGAAGGCAUGUACACUCGGUGAAUUGGUCUAUCACCUGGGAGAACGUACGUGGGCUUAGUAAUUAAGUGUGGCAUCUUGAAGAGACACGUGGGCUUGGUAAUUUGAUGCAUUACCUCGGAGAAUGCACGUGGUCUCAAUGAGUACAUUUGGCAUCUUGAAGAGACACGUGGGCUCGGUGACUUGAUGCAUCGCCUUGGAGAAUGCACGUGGGCUCGCUGAUUCAAAAUGGCAUUUUAAAGGGCACGUGGGCUCGGUAAAUUAAUGCAUUACCUCGGAGAAUGCACAUGACUCGAUGAUUGGUUCCAUCACCUCAGAGAAUGUACGUGGCUCGGUGAUAAGGGAUAUCGCCUCGGAGAAUGCACGUGGCUUGGUGAUUGGUUUUAUCAGUUGAGACUGUAGAGCAAUGACUAGACUGACCUAGGAAAUGGUUAGAGUGUCACGUAAUCGACUAAGUCGAUUAGUCUUUGCUUUGAUUCGAUGUUGUGAAUUGAUUAACUGAAUGGAAAUGACCGUGAGUGGUCUUGUUAGCAUGUAAUCGACUAGGUCGAUUUGAUCGAUGCUUCGAUCUGUGAUGUGAUUGCUUGGGUGUCUAUUUGAUCUAUGCUAACAUGCAGGUGGGAUCUAAGGCCAAGGUAAGUCUUCUAACUCGUGCUGUGUUUAGGCAGCUAUGUGGUGUAUUGGUUCCCUAAUUGAGUCUUAGUGGAGUAGAACUUGCUGAGACGUAAUUUCAUCCCGAUUGUGGGAUAUCAUUUCAAGCCCUUAGAAUGGCAGGACCUCCACCUCCUCGUCCUCGUAUGCACUACGGUGUUCCAGAACAUAUUUCAAAGUUUGAGACCAAUUUCCACGUCCACCCUCAUCCGGAAGGAUUGGUGUACGUAUUAGUUCAAUCGACCAUCUGGGUCAAUGUGGGGGAAGAAGACCAAAGGGCCCACAAGUAUCGGUCGUGGUACUGUGAUUACUUUGAUAGGCGCAGAGAAGGUCCUAUUCCGGAAGAGGAUGUGCCUUUUGACGUGAUGGAAAAGGCAUUUGGAGAGGGAACAGCCGAUCAAGUGGAUGGAUCGGUAGUGGAUGCGAGGGACCUGCAGUAGGAGGCCGGGAUUAGCACUCCCGUAUAUUCGACCGAGGAGGACAAUGGGCAUGAAGGUAAUUGUGAGAUGCCGCAGUAGGAGGUGGAAGCACCGGAGGAGGAUGAAGACUGGGGAGCAGCUGAGGAGAUGCUUGAAGAUGAGCCGGCGUCUGAAGCCGAGGAUGAAGCUGAAGAAGAGAAUGAUCUAAGUGAAGAGGAGUCAGAGGAGGAUCAGGAAGAUCCAGAGUAUGACCCAGAUGAGGAUUGAAAUCCCAUCUCUUUGUGAACCCUUUGUAUAUGUGUAGAUAGAGUGAGAUUUUGAAGUUGUGAAUAGUUUAUGAAGUGCUCUGUCUAAUGCCAUGUAUAAAGGUUUGGUUGUAAAUUUCAAUAUGAAAAAUAUAGCUUGUUUUUUUAUCUCAUUGUUUUAUUGUUUGGGGAUUUAUAACUGCUUUCGCAUGUGCUUAAUAAAUGAAAGGGUCAGCGAUACAUAGUCUUGAGAUAUCGCAUUCUAAAAUCGACCAAGUAGAAGGAUGUGUGCAUAUCCGAGGAUUGGGGCGUGACACAUCGCCUCCCCACCUUGGAGCGCGGUUUCAUCAGUACAUCGACGGCGUUCCCGAAGGAGCAUGGGCCCAGAAUCAACUGAGACCCGCAUCCGUUGCAUGGGGCAUCCCAUAUAGGGACAAUUCCAGCUCAAUAGCUCAAGACAAUUCCUCUUAAUUAUCAUACAAUAAUCUCAUAAUCAACUCAAGGCACUUUGCACAUCACUCACAUACUUCAAUUACAAUAUUAAUCUUUAAAAAUCCAAUUUCGAUGCCAAACCCAACAUUUGGGAUUUUCUAAAUAAAACCCAUAUUUUCCAUAAUUAACACUCAAUUUGCAUUAAUCAACCAUAAAUUUCAAAUUCUAAAUAUACAGCAGCGAUCAGCACGAAAUUCUGAACAAUUGAGAUCAAAAAUAAUUUUUCGAUUUUUUUUAAAUGAUAAUAUUUUAAUAAUUUUCGGAAUAUAAUAUAUUAUUAAAUAAUUCAAUAAUUUCAAAACAUUUAUUUAAAUUAGAAACAAAUCCCUUUAAGUCACAUCAAGGCUUAUAUUAAAAUAAACGUAUUUAACCUUUAAACUAAACAUACUUUAUCUUAAUUAAUCACCUUAAUCUAAUCCACAACAAAAUAAACAAAUCUAACCACCUAAUCUCAAUCAACCUAAGCUAAACACACUUAAGGCAUCAUUAACCCUUUAAUCAAGGCUUAGUGAGCUAAACUCACCGAAAUCGCUUUCCGACAAGUCUCCGGCGAAAAGCAUGACAAUGUCGACGACAACUCUACACGGAGCAACACCAAAGGAGGUCGGGAAGAGCUUGGAAACGCUCCUCGAAGAUUCGAAUCUUGCUGGCCGAAGGUUGUUGCUCACGGUCGGAAUGGAGGCGCGCCGGCGACUACUUGGAUGGAGAAGGAUCGAUGGAAGCAGCUACGGCUCGGGACGGCAACUAGCGGCGGCGAUGGAGGCUUCGGCGAGGUGCUACAACAUCAAGCAGCAGCUAUGGGAUGGCGGACGACGGGCUGGAACUCGCGGCGAAGGCGGAGCAGCUCGCACGCGGGACGGUGCGCGAUCGUGCGCGGACAAGUGGCGACAGCGAGCUCCGGCGACGAGCGAGCGAGCGAAGGGCGACGAACAGGGUCGGGUUCGCUAGUUCAAAACAACCGCUCCUCCUUUCUCUCUCCUCCAAGCUUGAAGAUGAUGAAGACAAGAGGGAAGUGACAUCCCACCUUUUUGGGAUUCAAUCUCCACCCUCCAAGUAUCACCACCCUAGCCCAUCUUGCCCCACCCCAUGACAUCACUUGUGAUGUCACGAUCCACUAACACCAACCUCCCACAACCUUAGUCAAAUAGGUUCAAUUUCAUUUUCCGCCGGGGCAUAGAAUCGUGUGUGCUAAUUUCUUCAAUUCAAUUCGAUCCUCUUCCAAUUGAAUCCAAUUAAAGUCCAUAAAUUAAUCCAAUGUUCCUAAUAAGAUUUGUGACACACCAUGACUUCCAAUUUCAGAAUUCGAUCUCAAUUUCACGGUUAAUUUCACUUUGGUACGAUACUAGCGCAUCCUGAUCUGCCGGGUAGCUUAUAGAAAUUUUUAUGCAUUUGACAUGUGGUUGAUCAAUUCAAGCCACAAUGUACAUCUUUGACACAUUGGCAACUUUCGGUUGUCGGGGUAAUCUCAAGAUUUCAAAUACAGGCACAAGGUACCUAAUCGAUAGAAAAGUCGGUCUAGUGCCGAUUGACAAGAAUUGUGCGAUCUGGUGGAAUCACCCACACUUGAUCACAUGUCUCUGUCGAGUUGACCUAUCUCCGAUCUCUAAUCGAUUUUUAUUUGUGCCGUAAUGACCCUUGCAGAUUAUCUCGGUCGAAAGGUCGCUUCCUGAUCAAAUUCUCAAGUCUAAUGCAUUAGAAUCUCUUAACGGCUUCAUCUGAUAGACUAGCUUUCACAUGAGUAGCCGACUCAAGGAAAUGAACUAUAUGCGUGCCAACGAAAUGCCCCGUCUCAAUUUAUUGAAAUUAGAAUUGGAAAAUUGGAAUGUCACAUAGACUGCCGGUGAUAAACCGGAGGAAGAUGAGGAUGACGUCAAAUCGUCAUGCCCCUUAUGCCUUGGGCGACACACGUGCUACAAUGGCUAGGACAAAAGGUUGCGAUCCCGCGAGGGUGAGCUAACUCUAAAAACCUGUCCUCAGAUUGGAUUGCAGGCUGCAAUUCGCCUGCAUGAAGUUGGAAUUGCUAAUAAUCGUCAGUCAGCCAUACGACAGUGAAUUCGUUCUUGGGCCUUGUACACACCGCCCGUCACACUAUGGGAGCUGGCCAUGCCCGAAGUCGUUAUCUUAACCGCAAUGAGGGGGAUGCUGAAAGCAUGGCUAGUGACUGGAGUGAAGUCGUAACAAGGGAGCCGUACUGGAAGGUGCGGCUGGAUCCCCUCCUUUUCAAGGAGAGCUAAUGCUUGUUGGGUAUUUUGGUUUGACAUUGCUUUACACCCAAAAAUAGGCGAGCUACAUCUGAGUUCAACUUGGAGAUGGAAGUCCUCUUUUGUUUCUGGACGGUGAAGUAAGACCAAGCUCAUGAGCUUAUUAUCUUAGGUCGAAACAAGUUGAUAGGAUCCCCUUUUUGACGUCCCCAUGCCCCUCCCGCGUGGCGACAUGGAGGCGAAAAAGGGAAAGAGGGGGAUGGGGUUUCUCUCGCUUUUGACAUAGUGGGCCUCAACGGGAGGCCCGCACGACAGGCUAUUAGCUCAGUGGUAGAGCGCACCCCUGAUAAUUGCAUCCUUGUGCCUAGGCUGUGAGGUCUCUCAGCCACAUGGAUAGUUCAAUGUGCUCAUCAGCACCUGACCCUGAGAUGUGGAUCAUCCAAGGCACAUUAGCAUUUCUCCUAUUCGAACCGGGUUUGAAACCAAACCUCUCCUCAAGAGGAUAGAUUGGGCGAUUUAGGUGAGAUCCAAUGUAGAUCCAACUUUCUAUUCACUCGUGGGAUUCGGCCAAUCCGGGGGGACCCCCAUGGCUCCUCUCUUCUCGAGAAUUAAUACAUCCCUUAUCAGUGUAUGGAUAGCUAUCUCUCAAGCAUAGGUUUAGGUUCAGCCUCAAUGGGAAAAUAAAAUUGAGCACCUAACAACGUAUCUUCACAGACCAAGAACUACGAGAUCGCCCCUUUCAUCCUGGGGUGACGGAAGGAUCGUAUCAUUCGAGCUCUUUUUUUUCAUGCUUUUCCCGGAGGUCUGGAGAAAGCUGCAAUCAAUAGGAUUUUCUUAAUCCUCCCUUCUCGAAAGGAAGAACGUGAAAUUCUUUUUCCUUUUCGCAGGGACCGAGAGAUUGGAUCUAGAUGUAAGAAGAAUGGUUGGAUGAUACCGGACUCAAAGGUAGGGCAUUUCCCAUUUUUAUAGGAACUUCUGUACCAGAAACGAUGGUAUCUCCAAACUCUUUUUAUUGGAAACUUUCCUUUAAUGAAUUCCCUGGGAACUUCUAUAGUAAAUGGAAUAUACAAAAUUGUGAUCAAUCAAAUAUUGCAAAGUCUCGGUAUCUAUUACUAGUCAUAAUUGGACCAUAACAGAAUUUCAGUCUAUACCAAGACCAUAAUAUCAAAUUGGAGAGGAAGAUUAGAAUUAGAGAUUGAUCGAAAAGCAAGGAUAUGGGCUCGUGUGAGUAGGAAACAGAAAAUAUCUAUUCUAGUUCUAUCAUCAGCUAUGGGUUCGAAUCUAAGAGAAAUUCUACCUCUCAAUGCUCUAAUGCCCACACCGAAUAUGGACUGGACCGUCUCACGACAUUCUGAACCCAGCUUGCGUACCACUUUAAUGGGCAAAAAGAUAAUGCAGAUAUGUAGAAUUUCGAUAUUCUAUAUAAAAUGGGUUGCCUGAGACUCGAACCUGGAACUAGUCGAAUGGAGUAGAUAAUUUCUUUGUUAAAUUCCCAAAAUGAAGGAAUUAUGGCAUCCAACAAAAAAAAAAAAACAUCUUUUAGUUAAAAACAAAUUGAUUUUUGUCAAGGGGUGAUUUACAUAGGUGAAUGUAAGGCGUAAAUGUAUUGCGUCUUGACACUAGGCCAUGUUCUAUAAAUACAUUAAUUAUAUGUCUUUUUUUUUUAGUAAAAAACAUUCAUUAUUUGUUCGCUUGUCCUAUUGCCAAUAUAAUUAUUAGUUAUGGAAACAUGACUCAAUAUGAAACCAGACUUUUAGGAUAAGGAAACAACAAGAAGUGACGUAGCAAUGGCAAAUGAUUUAAUUUGAUUUUGCCUAAGGAGGAAAACUAAAAUCAAUUCAGUCGAUAGUCUACUUCGCGCUAGAAAAUAAACGAAUCACUUGAUCUUCUAAAUUUUCUAGCAUUUGUCGAAGUUCGAAAUUUUCUAUCUUUCGACGGUAAUGAGAAAAGGAAGAAGAAAAACUGACAAAAAGGGGGGAAAUUUCGUUCGUGCCCACUUUCCAUUUCCAAGCCCCGAAGCAUAUGCGACCGGAGGUGCCCGACCCCACAGUAAUAAAAUAAUCGCUAAAAACUUUCCUCGCGAACGAGAAAAAAGCAAAGUAGCGGUGCCAGCCGCCCCCACCACCAGCGUUUUGACCCUUAUUUGAUCUCAUCAGUGACGUGGCGAGAUCUGGGCCGCGAAUCCACCUGAUGCCGUGAUCACCUUCGCCUCCUGUCGCUACGGCAGGAGAGAGAGGGAGAGAGGGGUCUUUCCCCGUGCGUGCCGCGAUGGAGGGACGGGGGCGAGUGGCGAGAGACCAAAAACCCUGCACGUGGAUGCAGCGAAACUAAACCCGGAUUUGUUCCACGGUCGAUAAGCUGGAUUUCAUAAACCGCCGAUACGUCCGAGGCAUUUUGUGGGGAACUUAGGGAAGGGAAGGAUUCCGAGUUUUUUGGUUUUUGGUUUCUUUGGUCAAAGAGGAGGAUCCGCAGGGAGGAAGGAGGGCAUCAGCGUCGCCAUAGCCGCACCAAGCAGCCCAAGCGCAAGCGCACGACCUGAAGGAGGAGGAGGAGGCCGGAGGAUUCGCCUCUCCCCGCGCGCCAUCGACCUCGAUCCAUCGCGCGUAAGUCUGGCUUCUUCCUCCGGCGGCGGCGGCGGCGGCUCGCUCCGGCGAUGCUUUGAUUAGGGAGACCGUCUCGGUCGUCGCCAUUUAUUUAUUGUUUUUUUUUUUUUUUUUGGUUUUGUGUUUUUUGUGGGGUCCAGUAAUUUUGGUUCAUUACCUGUGUUUGGUGAGCUCGUCGUUGAUGUGUUUUCGCAGUUUUUGAUCGGAUCACCUGGAAUUCGCGGCCACCUAGUCCGGACACUGCGGGUGCUCUCCCUUGCUUCUGCUGACGGAGGUGGAAAUGGAUUUGGUCUCUAGUUGCAAGGUAGUGUCAUUUAAGGGCGGCGUUGGUGUUUGCAGUCCUUGAGAGUCUUGCGUUGUGAUAGCCGAGACUGAUUAGGCAUCGGCCUUGUUCAUCUCGGUCUUUGUAUGCAUUAAUGCUCUUGCAUCCAUGGAUGUCUGUUGUCGCGUCGCGAGUGGUAUCAAGGAGCGAUGGUCGGUCGGUGUUUCUGGAGGAUGUGCUAUUCUUAAUAACAUGAGCGACCUGACCUUUCAUUGCCGUUCAAUUGCAUCGUGAAUUCAUGUUUGCAUUCAUUGCAUGUAUUCCGUUUUAAUAGCUUUGACUCGUGUGGCAUUGGGCGAAUUUGGUAAUGCUAUUUGUCUAUCAGAAAGGGAUGUGGCUUGUGAUCAAGCUUCAGCCAAUUUCUGUUUACCGAGACCUCAUUUGUAUGUACUCAGCAGUUGAUGUGGGUGGAAAUAAAAUAUUUGAUAGUAGUUUUAACUUUUGUUUAAGCACGAUCUCAUCAGUCCUCUCAUUCUUGCUGCUUCUGCGAUUGAGCGAUCCUUUGGAUUUUUGCAUGUCAGUGCGAGAUGGGCCGGCUAUUGCGCUGUAUUUGCACCUGCAUUGUCAUACAUUUCUAAUGACUAAUUGGGAAAUUAGGAAUGACAGGUUAUACUGUUUGACUUAAUUGUGCUUGUAGUAAGUGACCAUCUUCUUGAUUGGGUAUUUGAUUUCAUGAAUCCUUUUGGCGUGUCACUUGAAGGUCAUGGGGGAAGGAUGAGCAGAUUACUUCAGGAAAUGACCUGAAGUCGUCCUAGUCCUUCUCCAUUGCCUCUCCCCAAUUCUAUUUGCAUUUAGCAUCGUGCUUUGCUAUGAAAAAUGAUCUGGUCUUUCACAUUGCUUAAACAAUCUUUGUGUCUUUCAUCGGUACAAGAAAGAGUGCAUAGAAUAAUUGAAUCCGUAAGUUCCAUCCGUGCUAGUUGCUGCACAGAAAAAAUUGCAUAUCGAUGCUUUGCUUGCAUGAUUGAUAUUCUGGUGGUUCUUUCUCCUUGUCGGCUGCUUGCACCAAUAUAACAAUAUUAUUUAAAAAAAAAAGAGGGUAGUAUGCUUGAUCAUACCUUAUUUGCAUGAGUAUCAUAUUUUACUCUUGUGGGAAGACAUAAGUUCAUAAUAACCUUUUCUGUAAUUGUUCCUCUGUGAAAUUCCUUGACUCCCUUAUGCAAGGAGCAGCAAGUUGUAUCUGGAGGCCUGUCUAACUUUAGCUAUUGUUGUAUCAACCAAUAUUCCAUUUGAGGUUAAUCCCAGCUGUCCCGUUGCUGUAACUGAUAGAUCCUGUCAUGUACAGGACAAAUUAGCGUAUUUUCGAAUAAAGGAACUGAAGGAUGUCUUGACGCAGUUAGGACUUUCAAAGCAAGGGAGGAAGCAGGUUAGAUCUUAAGUUGAUACUAAUGUUGCUGUUUGCAUGCAUCUCAUUUAUGAGCUUUUAGAGCUGUUGCAGUUCGUGAUGCACUCAUACUGUGCGGAUUGGGUUACGACUGUUUUUCUUCACAUGGAACUUUGUCUUGUACUUGUAAGUUGUUCUGCAAAUAGUUUUUUGAAUCACUUGGUCCUGUGGAAGAUGGCUGUUUCCUUUUCUGUCACACAUUGGGAUCCAUGUUGUUCGACUAUUUUCAUUGCUGUUCUUGGCUUGGCUACUUCACUAGCUUGACAUUUUCUUCAAGUAAAUUCUAAUGGGGAAACUGUUGGAUUUCAUUUUUUUUUCUUGGUUCAUGUAGGAUCUUGUAGAACGGAUAUUAUCAGCUCUUUCAGAUGAACAAGGUAUGUGAUGAAUUUCCUUGCCAGUUGUACAUUGUUUCUAGUUCUUUCAAUAGACAAAUAUGAUCGUUUGGGCUUUAUUCACCCCUCUGAGUUUUGACGCAAUCUUGUGUGUUGUAAUAUAUGAAUUCAUGGGAAUUUACAUUAAAGUGUUAUUUUAUUCGUCAUUUACUGAUUUUCUGUGACGGUGCAUUCUUUUACCUGUUUUUUAAAGAAAUGUCCACCUAAGUCAAAUUAGCGUAUAGCUUAGACUUUGUGCCUCUUAUCAAAGAUAUUUCUUUAUGUUGAUAUAUGCCGCUUCUGACAGAGGUAUGAAGUUGUUGGAAUCUUUGUUUGCGUCAGUGCUUCUCUUACCAUAAGCUGAUUUUCGAGUUCUUCUCUCCUUCCUGUCAGUUGUCUUUCAAAGAGAGUGGACAAUAUUAGUGGAUAACAUGAUUACUGAAGGCUCAUCUCUCAUAGUUGGGCUUAUUGUGCUUUAAUUGGUCAGAAUGGGUCACAUCUAUUAAUGCGUGAUUUUCAUGCAGCGUGGACUAAAAUGUUGUCCUUGGUUUUUUUAUAGUGUCCAAGAUGUGGGCAAAGAAGCACGUGGGGAAGGAAGAUGUCGCAAAACUAGUUGAUGACAUUUACAGGUCUCUUCUUGUUUAUUGCUCUGUAUCUGUAUCAUUUGUCAUGAUUUGCACUCUGCCUUCUAUCUGAUGUAUGUUUCUGGGUUGAGCUUACAGAAAAAUGCAGGUUUCUGGGGCCCCUGAUUUAGCUUCAAAUGGUCAGGGAGCCUCAGAUUGCAGUAAUGUCAAAGUUAAAGGAGAGUCGAUUGACCCAUAUCGGUCAGAUGCAAAGGUCAGAUGUCCUUGUGGAAAUUCUUUGGAAACAGAGACAAUGAUCAUGGUAUGGAUUGUACGAAGUGUUUGCAUUUGGAUACAUUCUCAUUUUGUCCUAGUUGUUGGCAAAAAGAAAAAAGUGCUUUUAGUUUUUACUUGGUUUUCAUGCAUCCUAAAGUGAACCAAUCUUGGUUUGUCACAGUUGUUGAAAUUGUUACUUUUACCAUACAGUUAAAUUGGUUUUUGAGAAACCUUGAAGCCAGCACUUGCACCUUGGCAUGUUCACCCUUAAUCCACCCUCUUGUGUUUUGAUUUUCCUUUAAGAGUUUCUUCUGUUAUGUUGAAGUUGUUACUCAUGUUUGUUUUAGUGUCCAAUCUCCCUUCUUUUGUGGUACGAUAUCUGGGUGAAAAAUUACCUAUGCUUUGAAUGUGGCUAGAAAGUGAUGUGAGUUGUCACUCAUCAUUAGUAGUCCACGGACUUGGUAGAACCUGCAAGUGUCCCUUUUGAAAUUAAUGGAUUUCAUUCUUGAAAAAUAAAGGAACUGUGAGUAGUUUCAUGUCAUACCAUCAUUUCUGCUUUCGUUGACAUAUUUUUUAUUUUACGUGCUUACCUAUUUUCUUUAUUCUUUUUUAAAAUUAUGUUUUGUUCUUUUAUCUUUUGGUUGGCAGUGUGAGGACCCAAGAUGCCAUGUCUGGCAACACAUGAGUUGUGUCAUCUUUCCUGAAAAACCUGAGGAGGCUCCUGAAAAUUUUUAUUGUGAGCUGUGCCGUCUUAGUCGUGCUGAUCCGUACGUAUCUCAUAGUAGCAAACCUUCGCAUUUCAUCAAUAUAUCAACUGGGAAAUGUGACGUUCGGUCUUCAUAGACAUGGCUUUUUGUAUGGAAUGAUGAUAUUGACAUCCCUCUUGAGAAAUUUUAUUUAUUAUUCCAUGCGAAAC